rnacentral:pre_miRNA from 1 species
ACAUUACCACGCACACAGUCAACCACGUCUAAACUGGUGUCAGUGCAGCUUCAGUGGGUGAUGGUUGCUGUAGCUGGCUCU